rnacentral:rRNA from 1 species
AGAGUUUGAUCCUGGCUCAGGAUGAACGCUGGCGGCGUGCCUAACACAUGCAAGUCGAACGAUGAAACCGCCCCCGGGCGGACAUGAAGUGGCGAACGGGUGAGUAACACGUGACCGACCUGCCCCCCGCCCAGGGACAGCCCCCCGAAAGGGGGAUUAAUACCUGGUACUCCGGAAGCGGCGCAUGCCGCAUCCGGGAAAGCUCUCGCGGCGGGGGAUGGGGUCGCGGCCCAUCAGGUAGACGGCGGGGCAGAGGCCCACCGUGCCGACGACGGGUAGCCGGGUUGAGAGACCGACCGGCCACAUUGGGACUGAGAUACGGCCCAGACUCCUACGGGAGGCAGCAGUGGGGAAUUUUGCGCAAUGGGGGCAACCCUGACGCAGCAACGCCGCGUGCGGGACGAAGGCGUCCGCGUCGUAAACCGCUUUCAGCGGGGAACACCAAUCGAGGGUACCCGCAGAAGAAGCCCCGGCUAAAUACGUGCCAGCAGCCGCGGU